UACGGAGGGUGCAAGCGUUAUCCGGAUUCACUGGGUUUAAAGGAUGCGUAGGCGGACAUUUAAGUCAGAUGUGAAAUACCCGAGCUUAACUUGGGUGCUGCAUUUGAAACUGGGUGUCUAGAGUGCAGGAGAGGUAAGUGGAAUUCCUAGUGUAGCGGUGAAAUGCGUAGAGAUUAGGAAGAACACCAGUGGCGAAGGCGACUUACUGGACUGUAACUGACGCUGAGGCAUGAAAGCGUGGGGAGCAAACAGG
rnacentral:rRNA from 1 species